GCUCCUACCGAUUGAGUGAUCCGGUGAACCUUCUGGACUGCGUUUGGGCUUGAACCACAUGCGGGAAGUUAUGUAAACCUUAUCACUUAGAGGAAGGAGAAGUCGUAACAAGGUUUCC
rnacentral:rRNA from 1 species